UACAGAGGUCUCAAGCGUUGUUCGGAUUCAUUGGGCGUAAAGGGUGCGUAGGCGGCGCGGUAAGUCGGGCGUGAAAUCCCCAGGCUCAACCUGGGAACUGCACUCGAAACUACUUCCCUUGAGUGUCGGAGAGGAAAGCGGAAUACCUGGUGUAGAGGUGAAAUUCGUAGAUAUCAGGUGGAACACCAGUGGCGAAGGCGGCUUUCUGGACGAUAACUGACGCUGAGACGCGAAAGCGUGGGGAGCAAACAGG
rnacentral:rRNA from 1 species